rnacentral:rRNA from 1 species
UACGUAGGGGGCUAGCGUUGUCCGGAAUCAUUGGGCGUAAAGCGCGCGUAGGCGGCCCGGUAAGUCCGCUGUGAAAGUCAAAGGCUCAACCUUUGAAUGUCAGCGGAUACUGCCGGGCUAGAGUCCGGAGGAGGCGAGUGGAACUCCUGGUGUAGCGGUGGAAUGCGCAGAUAUCAGGAAGAACACCAACGGCGAAGGCAGCUCGCUGGGACGGAACUGACGCUGAGGCGCGAAAGCGUGGGGAGCGAACAGG